UUGGAUUAUAAACUCCCUAGAGGCACCAGAUCCUACCUGAUCAUGAAAACUAAGCAGGGUCAGCCCUGGUUAGUACCCGGAUGGGAGACUGCCAAUGAAAACCAAGCCAUAUUUCAGA
rnacentral:rRNA from 11 species